rnacentral:rRNA from 1 species
GAUGAACGCUGGCGGCGUGCCUAAUACAUGCAAGUCGAGCGAACAGACGAGGAGCUUGCUCCUCUGACGUUAGCGGCGGACGGGUGAGUAACACGUGGAUAACCUACCUAUAAGACUGGGAUAACUUCGGGAAACCGGAGCUAAUACCGGAUAAUAUAUUGAACCGCAUGGUUCAAUAGUGAAAGACGGUUUUGCUGUCACUUAUAGAUGGAUCCGCGCCGCAUUAGCUAGUUGGUAAGGUAACGGCUUACCAAGGCAACGAUGCGUAGCCGACCUGAGAGGGUGAUCGGCCACACUGGAACUGAGACACGGUCCAGACUCCUACGGGAGGCAGCAGUAGGGAAUCUUCCGCAAUGGGAGAAAGCCUGACGGAGAAACGCCGCGUGAGUGAUGAAGGUCUUCGGAUCGUAAAACUCUGUUAUUAGGGAAGAACAAAUGUGUAAGUAACUAUGCACGUCUUGACGGUACCUAAUCAGAAAGCCACGGCUAACUACGUG